rnacentral:tRNA from 1 species
AAAAAGCUAGUCCAAUUAAGACAAUUAAUUUCGACUUAAUAAAUUAUGGCUAAAUCCAUAGCUUUUUC